rnacentral:lncRNA from 1 species
CUGUUCAUUAGAACCGACAGUGUCUUCAUUAUCAGCCUCAGAGCGGUUACGGAUUGAAACCUGAGUAGGGUAGAAAUCUCCUAUUUUGGACUGUUUGGGAGGAGGAAGCAUUCCAUCUGUAUCCUUGGGGCGUUUGGGGACCCCCAUGAUAACUGGGUGACUUCCUCUGGGGAUCUUUGAUCCUGGAUAUAGCCUUGAGGAUAACACUGCAAGAGAGAACCACCCGAGGGAAACAAGCAGGGAGGGAACCAGGAAUCCAAAGAAUUCAGAUAACAUCCAGAAGAAACAAGCAGUGAGAAGUGAUUCUGUGGCAGUAGAGGGUCGUAGGUUGAAGAUUUUGCCAACAGAGAAGGGGGAUCUUCUGAAUCAAGGCUCGAGAUCUCUUCGUGAGGAGAUCCUGCUGGAAACCUCUGAGAACAAGGUCUCUCCAGGUAAGAAUCCCUUUGCCUCCUGGCCAUUGACUGUGAAGGAUAAUGGUUGAUUUCCUUACCCGGAUGCCCCCGUUGAAAGAAGUGGCCUAAAGAUGUCACUCAAAGCUCAGAACAUAAUUUUUAAAAGUAAUUUUCUUCCGCUACUCAUUGCUUAGGCCAGAGAUUUUUUGCUUUAUAUUAUUUAAAAAAACAUAUUUCCUAACACCUACAAUUCAAAAGUAGUUAUGAUUGGUUAAUCCCUCUUCCCACUCCAUCUAGUGUCAGAAUAUAGGAUUAAU